UACGUAGGGCGCAAGCGUUAUCCGGAAUUAUUGGGCGUAAAGAGCUCGUAGGCGGUUUGUCGCGUCUGCCGUGAAAGUCCGGGGCUCAACUCCGGAUCUGCGGUGGGUACGGGCAGACUAGAGUGAUGUAGGGGAGACUGGAAUUCCUGGUGUAGCGGUGAAAUGAGCAGAUAUCAGGAGGAACACCGAUGGCGAAGGCAGGUCUCUGGGCAUUAACUGACGCUGAGGAGCGAAAGCAUGGGGAGCGAACAGG
rnacentral:rRNA from 1 species